UACGUAGGGGGCAAGCGUUGUCCGGAAUCAUUGGGCGUAAAGAGCGCGUAGGCGGCCCUGUAAGUCCGCUGUGAAAGUCAAGGGCUCAACCCUUGGAUGCCGGUGGAUACUGCAGGGCUAGAGUCCGGAAGAGGCGAGUGGAAUUCCUGGUGUAGCGGUGAAAUGCGCAGAUAUCAGGAAGAACACCCGUGGCGAAGGCGGUUCUCUGGGACGGUACUGACGCUGAGACGCGAAAGCGUGGGGAGCGAACAGG
rnacentral:rRNA from 1 species